rnacentral:misc_RNA from 1 species
GCCUUGCUUUGCUGGAGAAGCGUUGGUAACAUGGACAUUCGAUGAAAACAUAUCGGAUCUAGGGGAGAGAAAAUGUGUAUAAAUAACGACACAUUUGGUGUUCAUUUUCACUUUAGGGAUCCGCCGUUCCAGCGACGCUUCAAAAUGAGAACCUUCACCGCCACAGUCCUGGUUGCAGCCGCCUGCUUCUUGGUUUUUUCAGAUGCCCAGACAACUGUUAAGCCAACCACUAGCACAAAGCCAACCACUACCACCACUAAGCCGACUACUACCACGAAGGCAACCACCACCACGAAGCCAACCACCACCACGAAGCCAACUACUACUACGAAGCCAACUACUACUACGAAGCCAACCACCACCACGAAGCCAACCACUACUACGAAGCCAACCACUACCACGAAGCCAACCACCACCACGAAGCCAACUACUACCAGCACUAAACCGACUACUACUACCACGAAGCCAACCACUACUACAAAACCAGCAACAACUACGAAGCCAGCGACUACUUUGAAGCCAACCUCGCCUGGAUCAACUCUUACUCCUUCUCUUGGUACCAAUUAUUGCAACAUUAGUACAUGCACCGUGCCGACCAAUAGGCCUAACACGCUCUGCCUUUAUUCGAACACUAGUUGGGGAUCGGCUUGCCAACCGGCCUAUCCAGCAACAUCGAACGUCAGCGCUGCAGAUGUCGUCACCAUUUUGACAGCUCACAACGAUUUCCGACGUAAAGUUGCGAAGGGACUUGAGACUCAAGGAAGUCCAGGUCCGCAACCUCCCGCAUCCAACAUGAGAGAGUUGAAAUGGGAUCAGGAACUUGCUGUCAUGGCUGCAGCCCACGCCCAACAGUGUGUAUACAAACACGACACUUGCAGAGACGUUCCUCGUUUUCAAGUGGGUCAGAAUUUGCACAUUGGCGGGUCUUCCGCCGACACCCUUGGCACUUCAGACUGGACUGCAGCAGUAACCGAUUGGUACAAUGAAGUAAAAGACAUGAACACCACUUAUGUCACGAGCUUUCCAUCAAGCUCACCAAAGGAUAUUGGACACUACACGCAAGCAGUAUGGGCGGAUACUUCACUUGUUGGCUGUGCAGUUGCUUACUUCAAAACUACCACAGGCGUUUUUGGACCAUCGUUUCCCUAUAAUAGAAUGUACGUGUGCAACUACGGACCGACUGGCAAUUGGAUCGGCUCUGCUGUUUAUAAGCAAGGAACAGCCGGUUCCGCCUGUCCCGCAGGUACUAUGAACAGCAACGGCUUGUGUGUGACUACUCUUCAGCCAGCAACUGUCGCGACAACCCUCAAUCCCGUUACGACUACUCUUAAACCCGCCAGCGUAUCUACACUGAAGCCAACCUCGCCUGGAUCAACUCUUACUCCUUCUCUUGGUACCAAUUACUGCAACAUUAGUACAUGCACCGUGCCAACCGAUAACACGCUCUGCAAAUAUUCGAACACUAGUUGGGGACCGGCUUGCCAACCGGCCUAUCCAGCAAGAUCGAACGUCAGCGCUGCAGAUGUCGUCACCAUUUUGGGAGCGCACAACGAUUACCGACGUAAAGUUGCGAAGGGACUUGAGACCCAAGGAAGUCCAGGUCCUCAACCCCCUACGUCCAACAUGAGAGAGUUGAAAUGGGAUCAGGAACUCGCUGUCAUGGCUGCAGCCCACGCCCAACAGUGUGUGUACAAACACGACACUUGCAGAAACGUUCCUCGUUUCAGGGUGGGUCAGAAUGUUUACAUUGCCGGGUCUUCCGGCGACAUUCUCGGCACUUCAAACUGGAAUGCGGCAGUAACCUCUUGGUACAAUGAAGUUCAAUACAUAUGACCACCGCUGCUGUCACGAGCUUACCAGAAAGCUCACCGAAUGUUAUUUAUCAUUACACGCAAGUAGUGUGGGCGGAAACUUAUGUCAUCGGUUGCGCAGUGGCCUACUUCCAAUCUACUGCCACUUUUGGAACAGCGUAUCCCUACAAUAGAUUCUACGUUUGCAACU